GAGCUCGCUUCGUAGAGAGCCUGCGGAGGAUCAUUC
rnacentral:rRNA from 1 species